rnacentral:rRNA from 1 species
UACGGAGGGUGCAAGCGUUAUCCGGAUUCACUGGGUUUAAAGGGCGCGUAGGCGGCAAUUCAAGUCAUCUGUGAAAUCUCCGGGCUUAACUCGGAACGGUCAGGUGAUACUGCUUUGCUAGAGUGCAGAAGGGGCAAUCGGAAUUCUUGGUGUAGCGGUGAAAUGCGUAGAUAUCAAGAGGAACACCUGAGGUGAAGACGGGUUGCUGGGCUGACACUGACGCUGAGGCGCGAAAGCUAGGGGAGCAAACGGG